rnacentral:rRNA from 1 species
UACGUAGGGGCCUAGCGUUGUCCGGAAUUAUUGGGCGUAAAGAGCUCGUAGGCGGUCUGUCGCGUCUGCUGUGAAAACUCAGGGCUUAACCCUGAGCUUGCAGUGGGUACGGGCAGACUAGAGUGCGGUAGGGGAGACUGGAAUUCCUGGUGUAGCGGUGAAAUGCGCAGAUAUCAGGAGGAACACCGGUGGCGAAGGCGGGUCUCUGGGCCGUAACUGACGCUGGAGGAGCGGAAAGCAUGGGGAGCGAACAGG